rnacentral:rRNA from 1 species
CGGGGCUAUCUGGAAAGAGACUUCGGUCAAUGGAAGGAUAGCCUAGUGGCGGACGGGUGAGUAACGCGUGAGUAACCUGCCUAGGAGUGGGGAAUAACAGUCCGAAAGGAUUGCUAAUACCGCAUAAUGCAGUUGGGUCGCAUGGCCCUGACUGCCAAAGAUUUAUCGCUCUUAGAUGGACUCGCGUCUGAUUAGCUAGUUGGCGGGGUAAAGGCCCACCAAGGCGACGAUCAGUAGCCGGACUGAGAGGUUGGCCGGCCACAUUGGGACUGA